rnacentral:tRNA from 1 species
AAAGAUUUAGUUAAAUUCAUAACAUUAAAUUGUCAAAUUAAAAUUAUCCUACGAUAAUCUUUA